rnacentral:rRNA from 1 species
AAGCAAAAAAAAGCAGGAAUAAACCCCCGUACCUCUUGCAUUACCGUUUAGCAAGAACACACAGACAAGGCGCCACCCUAGUCUGACCACCCGAAUGCAAGUGAGCUAUUUUCGGGCAGUUUUAUAGAACUAACCCAUUUCUGUAGCAAAAGAACGGGAAAACCUAAAAAUAGAGGCAAAAAACCAACCGAACUUGCCGAUAGCUGGUUGCCUGACACACGAACCUAAGUUCGACCUUUGAUAUUACACUAGACAGUAUAACAUAACCUUUAUCAAAGAACUAGUCAAUGAAGGUACAGCUCCAUUGACACAGGAUACAGCCUUUACCAGAGAGUAAACACCACCACAAAUAAUGUUGGCCUCAAAACAGCCACCAGAAAAUAUUACGUUACAGUAACUAAACAAAAAUACAACCCAACACCACCUCCUGACAUAUGCCCGGGCUAUUCUAUUAACAUAGAAGAGACGAUGCUAAAACUAGUAAUAAGAAACAUUCUCCAAACGAAAUUUUACACUUAUCAGACCACCAUAACGGAAACAUGAAGCCUUUAUACACGGACCAUAAAAAUAAACUGUAAAACCAACCCAGGAUCGUCCACGGAUGGCUCAAAGCUUAAAAAGGAACUCGGCAAACAACCUCUCCAACUGUUUACCAAAAACAUAGCCUUUAGACUACCACAUAUUAAAGGUGUUGCCUGCCCAAUGAGGGCACUUAGCCCUUUAAUGGCCGCGUACAUUAUACGUGCAAAGGUAGCAAAAUCAUUUGUCCCCCAAAUAGGGACCUGCAUGAACGGCUACAUGAGAGGGGAACUGUCUCUUUAAGUCAGCCAAUGAACCUGAACCCCCUGUACAAAUGCAGGAAUAAAAAAACAAGACAAAAAGACCCUGUGAAACUUUAAAUGUCCAUCAACACAUGAUCAAGACAUUUUUGGUUGGGGCAACCAAAGAGAAACACAAAUCUCAUAGCUCGUCACACGGCAAACAGGCCAAAUGACACACUUAAGACCCAGCAUUGCUGAUCAAAGAACCAAGCUACUCCAGGGAUAACAGCGCCACAUUCCUAAAGAGUCCAUAUCAGCAAGAAUACUUACGACCUCGAUGUUGGAUUAGGGUAUCCCAAUGGCGCAAAAGAUAUUAAGGGCUCGUUUGUCAACGAUUAAAA